GCAUCAUUUUGCAUUCCCACCAGUGGUGAUGAAGCUUCCAAUUUCUCCCAGAUCAUGAUUUAACACUCAUUUUUAUUAAAUGCAACAACCCUUCCUGCAUCUGGCCUGAGUGUCCUGGGCCAGCCAACUGCUUGCUCUCCAUCUUUCCUGUUUGGUCAGAGGCCCUGGGUGCAGCCAGUGGGUUACGCACUCUGAUCCCCUCAGUGACUUCUCCUGGGAGGUCACCAAGGAUACUCAUUCAGUCAGGUCUUCCAGAGCCACAGUGUUGAUCCUGCAGUGAGGACAUGAGUGUGCAGUGACUGGACUCUCUCAGGCAGUCGUGGAAGCAGAGGAUUGCUCUGGCCAGCCUGGAGACAGUUCCCAUUGGUUCCUGGACUUGAUCUGAAUCAACUCCUUCUUCCUCACCAUCUCUUGCCUGGUGCUGCUGGCUGAGACGUUGCACCUGUGGGGGCUGUCCACUCCCAGCUCACGUCUUCUGGCAGCUCCUUACUCUAUUCUAAUGCGCCUAGUGGUACUGCCGAUUUUCUCUUUUCCCAGACACCUCUCUCCACACUCCUUCUCCCACAUUGGCCUGGCCCUCAUGGCUCUUUGAUCCUCAUGGAACAUUCUAUUGUCUCCUAGGUGAGAAGAAAAGGCAUCCCAGCUUAUAUUCAGACACAUGGCCUUGAACUCGUAAUAACUCACACAUGUAAGCCACAAUAACUUCAUUUGCAUGCAACCACCUUGAAUGAAUGGUCUCAGUAAAUGUGUCAUUUAUUCUCAAUAUUCUGGAGUGCUGGAAAAAAUGGGGAGUCAAAGGAUCCCUCAGUCUGCUGGUGUGACCUGGGGCACCCAUCCCUGUUCCCUCUCCUCUUACAUGGGAUAAAACCCCAGUGGAGCCGUGUCUCUGGAUCACUGUGAUGGAUUAGGUGUUCUGCUGAGAGCUGGGCUGUCUGCUUAGAAAUCAGCCUCCAGGCCUGACUUUUGGCCUCUGCCCCGCCUGUGGAGUCGGUGCGGGCUCCAGAUUCCAGAGGCGAAGGAUACAUCCUAGUGCCAGCUCAGAUCUGAAACAGGCGUGCCCUUCGUUUUCAGACAACUUCUGUAGCAGAUGAUAUGGUGUGCUCUCAGAUGCUGCUUCAGAGUGAAGGCACUCAUUCCCCGGCUGUCAGGAAGCUGACUGGUGAUGGGUCACAGAUUAAUAGUUUCCUUUGUAUUUCUUUUCCUCCUGGAUCAACCCUGUUCAACAGAAGUAUAUCAAGGCCACAUUUGUGAUUUAAACUUUUCUAGCAGCCAUGAAGGCAUGACUCAUUGGGGAUCAUCUUAGAAUCCUGCUUACCACACACGUUAAAAAAGGUUUAAAGAAGCAAAAUUAGUUUUAAAAAAAUGCGUUGUUAUUAUUUUAUAGAGACAGGGUCUCACUA
rnacentral:lncRNA from 1 species